rfam:Oryza meridionalis cultivar OR44 (W2112) chromosome 1, whole genome shotgun sequence.
AAUAAACGCCGCGUGAGUUUCCGUGUCCAACUUUGAUUGUCCGUCUUAUUUGAUUUUUUUUAUAAUUAGUUUUUUAUUGUUAUUAGAUUAUAAAACAUUAAUAGUAUUUUAUGCGUGACUCAUAUUUUUUAGUUUUCUUAAAAAAAAAUUUAAAUAAGACGAAUGAUCAAAGUUGGACACGAAAACUUAUAGCGCUGCGCUUAUU